rfam:Candidatus Synechococcus spongiarum isolate 1 genome assembly, contig: NODE_1726221_length_6456_cov_11
GGAGGGGUGGCCGAGUGGUUGAAGGCAACGGUCUUGAAAACCGUCAACGUGCAAGCGUUCGUGGGUUCGAAUCCCACCCCCUCCA